rfam:Gossypium raimondii Chr02_contig_824, whole genome shotgun sequence.
CCUGAGGGCGCGCUUUGCCUACGUGGCAACAAAGCGCGCUUACGUGGACGCGUUUUGUUGCCACGUAGGCAAAGCGCGCUGACGUGG